UAUAGUAAAAGAUUUCCCUAUAUAGGCUGGGGCUACUGUACUAUUAUGAGUAUAGACCUCCUUGUACUCAUAAAUUUUUAACCGUUGAUUGAUGGGAUGUGUGGUUAGGAUGAUGGUGGUCCCCACUUAAAAUAAUAGUGGUCCCCUAGGGUUGAGUGGGUAGUUGGUUAAAUAGUAUGAUCUAACGGAUGAAAAUGAUUAAUGAAAUAAAUCUAAGGGCCGAAAACUUAUGAGUAUAAGGAAGCCAAUACUCAUAAAAGUAUAGUAGCCGGACUCUAUAUAUAUAUAUAUAUAAAGAGGUGUCCCCCCAACCAAAAUAUGGCCUACCCAGUUAUGGCAUGUUGUAUUCAUAUGCUUUGUAGCUUUAAGUUAAGAAAAUGGAACAUGUGGACGUGAUGUUUAUGGUCCCUCAUGUUUUUUUGGUCACUUAUUUAUUAGNUUCAACCAACCACCCACUAAACCCUAGGGGGCCCACAUCAUCUUAACCGCAUAUCUUUUAAUCCAAUGGCUAAAAAUCUACAAGCACCAAUAACUUGGUACUUUUAAAAGCAUAGGAGCUCAAUUAUAUAUAUAUAUAUAUAGAAUUAGGCUAAUAUGCUAUUAAUAGCACCAAGUCAUUGAUGCUACCAAGUUUUUGGCCAUUGGGUUAAAAGAUGUGCAGUUAGGAUGAUGUGGGCCCCCUAGGGUUGAGUGGGUGGUUGGUUGAAUAGUAUGAUCUAACGGCGGAAAACUUGAUAGCACCAAGUGCUUCAUGCUAUUAAUAGCAUAGUAGCCAGACUAUAUAUAUAUAUAUAUAUAUAUAUAUAAUUGAGCUCCUAUGCUUUUAAAAGUACAAAGUUAUUGAUGUUUGUAGAUUUUUAACCAUUGGAUUAAGAGAUAUGCGAUUAGAAUGAUGUGGACCCCCUAGGGUUGAGUGGGUGGUUGGUUGAAUAGUAUAAUCUAAUGAUUGAAAAUGAUCCGAAAAGUAGAUCUAACGGUAAAAAACUUACAAUCACGAAGUGCUUGGUACUUUUACAAGCACCAUAGUUGGAUUCUUAUAUAUAUAUAUAUAUAUAUAUAUAUAAAGCACCAUAGUUGGAUUCUUUUAUAUAUAUAUAUAUAUAUAUAUAUAUAUAU
rnacentral:lncRNA from 1 species